rnacentral:rRNA from 1 species
UACGUAGGUGGCAAGCGUUGUCCGGAUUUACUGGGCGUAAAGGGCGUGCAGGCGGUCUGUUAAGUCUAGGGUGAAAGCUCCCGGCUCAACUGGGAGAGGUCCUUGGAUACUGGCAGACUUGAGGAGAGUAGAGGAGAGUGGAAUUCCCGGUGUAGUGGUGAUAUGCGUAGAUAUCAGGAGGAACACCGAUGGCGAAGGCAGGUCUCUGGGCCGCAACUGACGCUGAGGAGCGAAAAGCAUGGGGAGCGAACAGG